GGUGCGGGGGCGGCAGGGCCGAGGGGCGCGCAGGAACGUGAGAGGGGAGGCGAUUGACAGUGGGCAAUGGCAGUGGGCCCACGUGCGUGAAUCCGUUGUAUCCGCGCCAGGUGGACCAACAUACUUACAGACACGCACGUGAAAUACACAUUCCUCCCGCCGCCGCCCCAACGCGCCCACCUGGCCUCCAGAUGGCUCUCCAUCUUGGGCAGGUAGAAGUAGGGGCCCUGCCCGGCCGCUAGGGUGGCGGCAGCGUUGUGGAAGAAGAACAGGCCGAAGUCGAACAGCGAGGCGGAACAGGGCUCGCCAUCCACCAUGAAGUGGGCCUCCACCAGAUGCCA
rnacentral:lncRNA from 1 species